rnacentral:rRNA from 1 species
CCUACGGGUGGCAGCAGUGGGGAAUAUUGGUCAAUGGGCGCAAGCCUGACCCAGCAACGCCGCGUGAAGGAAGAAGGCCCUCGGGUUGUAAACUUCUUUUUACAGGGACGAAAAAAGCGACGGUACCUGUUGAAUAAGCCACGGCUAACUACGUGCCAGCAGCCGCGGUAAUACGGCGGUGGCAGUCGUUAUGCGGAGUUGCUGGGUGUAAAGGGCGUGUAGGCGGGAGAGCAAGUCAGAUGUGAAAUUCCAGGGCUCAACCCUGGAACUGCUUUUGAAACUGUUCUUCUUGAGUGAUGGAGAGGCAGGCGGAAUUCGGGGUGUAGCGGUGAAAUGCGUAGAUAUAAGGAGGAACACCAGUGGCGAAGGCGGCCUGCUGGAGAUUAACUGACGCUGAGGCGCGAAAGCGUGGGGAGCAAACAGGAUUAGAUACCCGUGUAGUC